rnacentral:lncRNA from 1 species
AUUUCUUUGGGCCACUCCCAUGGCAUAUGGAGGUUCCCAGGCUAGGGGUCGAAUUGGAGCUGUAGCCCCUGGCCUACGCCAGAGACACAGGAACGCAGGAUCCGAGCCGCGUCUGCAACCUACACCACAACUCACGGCAAUGCCGGAUCCUUAACCCACUGAGCAAAGGCAGGGACCGAACCCGCAACCUCAUGGUUCACUAGUCAGAUUCAUUUACCACCACGCCACGACGGGAACUCCCUGCUGGGUGACGAAACUGAAGCUCAAAAAAAGGUUAGAUAUACUGCCCAAGUCCACUGUUCACUGUCAGAGCCAGGAUUCAAACCUCUAUCUGUUUAAAUCCAAUGUGAUUUCCAUCAUAUAAUGCUUUCUCCCCAUUUAUUCCCCGCAAUUCAAGAGAUCCCAUGUAAAGGGGAGUUCACAAUGUCAAUCAGAAGAGCUACAAUGAAAAGCUGGUGUUUUCUGGGGUUUACACUUACACUAAAGACUUGUCUUCCCUUUAAUGACUAAUAAUUAAUUACACAUCAUUGGAUAAAUAAGAUAUAACAGCUAAACUGAAUGUCCAAAGUAUCAAUAUCUGGAAGUGAAUCUAGAGAAACUUUAGUGAAACUAUAGAUUUUAAUGCUUUGAGCACAACUAGUAGUGUUUCAUUUCUCCUAAAGGAUGAUGAACUAGCCAAUGACAUUGGGAUAAAUGGAAAAACCCAAAGGAGGUUUUCAUCAAUUUCAAAUCUCCAGUUCACGCAAGGAUCAUUAAUUCCACUUAUUGAAGUAUGAAGUGGUGCUUGCUAUGAUUGAGACCACAUGUGAAUUUUCUGUGAUGAGCAGCUUAAUAUCAAAUUAAAAUUCCCCAAAGAGAUACAAUGGGCUUGUCAGUCUCAGCUGGUUUCUCUUAAACCAUCUUCUUAUUAAACAUAGGGUCCUGUGGGAGAUUCCAGGUCAGGCUAUCUUGCUUGGGUUGUGAUGAUUGUUUUUUACUAAUUUUAUAAAAUAAAUAGUGUUUCUUAAGAGUUUUUGUAAUUUUAUGUACUUUUAAAGCAUAUGCCCCAUUUGCAUAUAUUGAGUAUAACAAUCUCAUGCAGUUCUUUCCUCAAAAAAAUUAUAAUAAUUAGACACUAAAUCCUCCUAUUGAAAAUUUCUUUCUUUUUUUUUUUUUUUUUUUUUGUCUUUUUGUCCUUUCUAGGGCCACAUUCAUGGCAUAUGGAGGUUCCCAGGCUGGGGUCUAAUCUGCAGCUGGCCUACACCAGAGCCACAGCAACACCAGAUCCAAGCCACAUCUGCGACCUACACCACAGCUCACGGCAAUACUGGAUCCUUAACCCACUGAGCGAGGCCGGGGAUUGAACCCACAGCUUCAUGGUUCCUAGUCGGAUUUGUUUCCACUGCACCAUGAUGGGAACUCCCAUCCUAUUGAUAAUUUCUACCACUCCAAAAAUAAAGUCUAUCUUCAGAGUGCCUAUGCAAAGAAAGGCUGGUAUGUCUAGCAGUUUUAUUUAAGGAAAUAAGGGUGUUUUGUUUUGCUUGGCUUUGUCUUAACAUUGCAUCAUAAUAGAGAAUAUACCUCUCAAACUGCAUACAACCCAUCUGCCCCCUCCUCAAAAAAAAAAAAAAAAAAAUCCUGAUUUUUUCCCUCUAGUAGGUUCUGACACUCUGCUUGAGAAUCACAGUCCCAAAGUUUCAUUAACUCUGAAGAAAGGAAACUAUCUAAUGUUGUCAGAAUGGGUAUAUUUUCUCUCACAAUGAUGGAAUAAGAAUGUGCUUAAGAAGGGAGGACCUGGAGUUCCCAUCAUGGCUCAGUGAUAUCAAACCCAACUAGUCUCCAUGAGGAUGUGGGUUCCAUCCCUGGCCUCAUUAAACGGGUCAAGUAUCUAGCAUUGCCUGAAGCUGCGGUGUAAGUCGCAGAUGCCACUCAGGUCUGGCAUUGCUGUGGCUGUGGUGGAGGCUGGCAGCUACAAUUCCAAUCUGACUCCUAGCCUGGAAACUUCCAUAUGCUUCAGGUGUGGCCCUAAAAAGACCAAAAAAAAAAGAGAGAGAGAGAGAGAGAGAGAGAGAGAGAGAGAGGAGCUACUUGCAGGGAUCCUUUGAAGAAGGCAGAAAGGCCAGCAAGAAUGACCUCAGAACUUGUCUCUAUUUACCAAGGAAACAAUCUAUGUCCAGCUUGGCACAUGUGGGGGCUCCCGAGUGGAUGCCACAGACCCCGCUUACCCUCACUCCCUCUACGUGCUGUGAAAGCUGAGCCACUCUUCAUUCACAAGAGAGAAAAUACUUAUAAGAGGGAAAGAUGAAAGAGAGUGAAAUGGCUACAGGGAGGGAAAAAAAAAAAAACUCAGAGGGAUAAGGAAGGCAUCAGAGGAAAACAGGAAGAAAAGAAGAGGAGAGCAACCAAGGACGGCAUCCAAGAAGUUUAGACCACAGAGAACAGAAGCAAUCAUCACAGUGAUAAUUUCACAUUGGUAACAAUAACCAUCAUUUAUUGGGCUUUUGCUGUGUGAGACAGAUGGAUGGAUGGUAACUAGGUAGACAAAUGGACACAAUUUAGUUUAACUUCAUUUCACUAACAUAAUCCUAAAAGACACCUAUUUCAACCCCUCUUUUCUUCUGAGGAAUAUGAGACUCUCAUAGCUAAUGACUUCUCCAAGGUGUAGCAGAACCAGAACUUUACCAAGUUUGUCAGGCUUCAGAUCCCAUGCUGUUAAUUACUAGACCCCUUAUUUGUAAUAAAUGCCAAAAAAUAUGUACACUUAGUUGCCUAUUUCCUUGUUCAAAUUAGACAUCUUGAGACAUGAUGCAGUUUCAGUGAUGUAUCUAUUGAUGAAAAUCGCUUGGGGACCCACUUUUGAAUAUUCCACUAGAGCCUCAGGUACACUCUUUGGAUUAUAUUUGUUGAUGGCAUACCCUCAUGCUUUGAGAGGAGGGGCUUAUUUAGGAGAUAGCCAGAAAUCUCUCAGAGUGAAACUGGUUAAAAACUGUAGGAGACACUGCAAGCAUUUGAGAUUUAAGGAAAAAAAGAGUGUGAACACUUUGUGUGUAUUAUCUACUGUCUCAGAGAAAUCCCAAAGGAGAGUUGCUAGCAGAUUCUGAUCAAUGGCCCCACCAUGGCAAUAAACACAAAGACUUAAGACAGCCCCUUCAAAGCUCAUCAUUAAACUGGUAUAUUUGUUAAAACACCAUUGCUGUAACAGUGAAAUCAUACCUUAGUCAUUCUUCAGAGAAAAGCAAUCUGUUCUCGCUUUAACUACUGGUAAAUGAAAUGUUUCAAUAAAAAAGAACAGAUAAGCACUUAAUUGUUUUUCAUACUGAUGCUGUUAAAGCAUCCUGCACUAUACUUUUUGGAAAACUUUUUUGAAAAGUUCAAAGAGAAAUGAUAAUGCUCUUGGGAUAUGAUUGCCUUUAAACUUGAAACUUCUAAUCACAGGAACAAGAGCAUGGAUGACCAGACAUUUGGGAUGGGAUGGCCUGCCCAUCUCUGCCCUGAGACUGACUGAUCUUUGAACAUCUAACAGGGCUGCCUCUAAUACAUUUGAAAAAUGGCAUCACAUUUGGGCUGGAGAGCUUUCUCUCCUGUUCAUGGUCCAUGUAGCAGGUGCUCUCCUCUGAAUGGUUACUGUUUUUCUCAAGAGCUGCCAAUUUUCAUUACAGCGAUGGACUGGAGGAGUGUUGAAAUGUCACAUGAAAAGAAAAUUACUGGGCAGCCCCCUUUUUUUUCAUUAGGAUUUCAGCAAAGCGAGGAAGGCAAGGGCAGACAAGAUAAUGGAGGGGUUGCUCAGGCAUUUAUUUCACUUUCAUUUUUUCUUUGAGAAAGUGUUAAUAAAAUUAGCAGUGUUCCAAUAACAGCAAGGAUUACAAAAGAUACAUUUAUCAACAAUGUGCAAUUUUCCUACUGGAAUGUAUAAUAAAACUUUUUAAAUGCAAAUUUCCCAUCAAUGAAUAUAUAAAGGGGCCAGAUAAAGAAGGGAAAAAAUGACAUUAAGCUAAUUCUCAGUCAUCUCUGAAAACUAGAAGGAUUAAAACUUUUAAAGUUAACUGACAAAUCUCUCCAAACUUAAUUUUAAACCUUCAUUCAAUUUUUGCUCUGUCAACGCUUCAGCAAAAGCUCCUUACAAGGAAUCAUGCUAACUCUUUUGAAUUUUAGGGAUGAGGUCAAAAUCAACAAUGCUUUCCCAUCACCUAUCACACAAAGCUAAAAAUCCUCUUACAUGUGCCUCUAAUUCAAGCCCUAUCCAGCAAAGCCCUUUGUAAUCCAGCCCACUCUGCCCCCAAAUAUCCUGUUUGCCCAUCACAAAUCCCAGGCUGAAAACUGGGCCCUUGAAGUUUACGAUGCUCCACUCCUCUUUGUCUUAUUUCUGCUCAAAUCCUCCCUAUCUUCUGAAGCCUUUACAACUCAGAUGCUACUUCACACUUCCCUUCCGGGUCUCACCAACCUC